rnacentral:rRNA from 1 species
AGCUAAGUGCGGAAGGGAUAACCGCUGAAAGCAUCUAAGCGGGAAGCCCCCUUCAAGACUAGGUAUCCCUAUCAGAUCCCUGGAAGACCACCAGGUUGAUAGGCUGGGUGUGGAAGCGCAGCAAUGUGUGAAGCUAACCAGUACUAAUUGAUCGAUCGGCUUGAUUGA